rnacentral:rRNA from 1 species
GUAUGAAGCUGGAAUCGCUAGUAAUCGCAGAUCAGAAUGCUGCGGUGAAUACGUUCCCGGGUCUUGUACACACCGCCCGUCACACCAUGGAGCCAGGAAUGCCCGAAGCCAGUGGCCUAACCGCAAGGGAGGAGCUGUCGAAGGCAGGCCCGGUAACUGGGGUGAAGUCGUAACAAGGUAGC